rnacentral:lncRNA from 1 species
CAUUUUCUGCAUUAAAACAGACAUAAACCAAUAUAUCUCAACUCAGCAUUGCAAUCCAUCCAUACCCAAAAAUAGAACAUUCAACAUAUGUGCUUCACAUUUGUAUAUUACGAACCUAGUAAUAAAUCAUUUCCACAAGUAAGAUAUGUGCAACAUACUAGCUACAUAUGAAAAGUUCAUCCUAAUUUAUCAGAUGUACUUUGUAGCCUUUCAGGUCAAUACAAUAUAAAGUCAAAAAAAACUUGUAUGGUCUUCGGAACAGGUGAAGCAAAUGAUUUCACUAGGUGACUUGUCCAGCCUUGUAGCAACGUUGCCAACCUGAAGAGGAAAUUAAGUCAAUUGACAUGUACAUGUACUGUAGAGGAUUCAUGCAGAAAAAAAAAGUGCACACAAUUUCAGAAAUUGAAAGGAAGGUCGUAAGGAAAUUCGGGAAUGACCAAAAGCUAAGGGAAGUAAGACUGCCUGAGAACUCUAUGCAGAUAUCUCAUAAUUGGCACAACAAAAAUUUGACUUGAGCUAUGGGCUAUGCUUAUUCAGAGUCCUUUUAGUUUGUGUUUCACUUUCCAGGUUAGUUAAACAUGCUUAGGAAAGUUGAGUAAUAUCGUAGAGUCCAAACAGUAAAGGACUAGAAGUGCAUGUGAGCACUAUCUAGUGCAUGUGAGCACUAUCUAAAGUCCCUAGCUGGCCAUGUACCUGUGGUCAAGUUUUUGUUCAGUGAUUGAAAAAUAAAAUAAAUGAACGUUUCCAUUUACCAAGUAAAAUUAUCAAAAGAACUUUACAAAACCUUGCAUGAAACUACAAGCAAAUAGGUCAUUUUAUUAUAUCACCGAUAGCAGACCCUACGAAUGGCAACUCAAACAAGUACGUACAUGUUACAGACAGAGAGGCUAUUCUAUAUUAGAACAACUAGUCAUGAAAACAAUAAGAUAAGAUGCAAAAUAUUAGCCAAAUCCUCUGCUGCAGGUUAAUGGAAGAGAAAAAGAAAUUUAUUGUGCUAUAUUUCUCGAUUGUCUGGACGCAAUAAGUGAUACAUUUUGGCUGCAAACCUUACCUCCUACAGUGAUAACACCUCCAACGCCUUGAUUAAAAUAGAGUGAGUAUUUCAGAGAAUUAUCAGUCGCGUGAUGAGAAGCAAAGCACAUUAUAAUCAGUCAGUACAAAUGCAGCUUUCAUACACAGUACAUGAAAGUCUUAGUUCCCAUUAGUGAAAAACAGACUGUAUUAACAAAUAUUACACUGAAGGUUGAACAAAAGUACAUGACAAUACUACUUUUACUUUAUAUUCUGCAAGAACAUUUAAUUAUAGUUUUAAAUUGUUGCAUAAUCACGUUCAAGAGGAAGAGGAAAGAUAAGGAUGCAAUCUUUAUGCAAGAUAAAAGAUGCUCUUCUCCUGAAAAUUACUUCUCAAAUUCUCCAUGGCCAAAUUAAAGUCACUGCAUAAAAGGAGGUUAUUUUUUCCGAAAACUACUACAAUAAGUGAUGGCCAUUCCACUGCUAGUGUCCUCUCUAAGUAAUAUAUGGAGUACGAACGACAUCGCCGCAACUUUCAUUUCUGUGGAUCUGUCAAUUAUUUCAACUUUUCAAGGAGAAUUGUUCAAUAUACUACCAAAAAUAUGCACACACAUAAAUAGACAAUGGUACAGUCUGCCUGAUAAUUUGAAAGAGCACCAUUAUUUAGUAUCAUCCUAACAUAUUGAGAUAUGAAUUAGUACUAAGAAGUUCUCUGCAUAUAUAAAGGAACAUAUUAAAAUGGAUUAUUCCUUCUACUUUUUCGAAGGGGUAAGAUGGAUUAUUCCUUAAAAUGUAAAGAAGUAUCUAAUUUCGAACCGUUUGCUACAUAUUCCUCCCAGAAGAGUGCAGUACAAAAUCUCAGAUCAAAAAACAGAUUUAAAUAAAGCUAAACAAAUUGAUGAUUUUCUCAAAAUUUUCUCCAGGAAAACAACACACCUCUUGCUCAUCAUGCAAAUGUAGUUGUCUACGAGAAUGGAAUACUCGUAGCAGUCGACAUGCCCGUUGUCUUCCCGCUAUGACCAUUCGCCCGCCAACCUGCUGCAGGACUGUAGCUGCACGGUGCUGCAAUUUCCAUAUCCGUACAUGUUUAUAUGUUGUAAAAUAGCAAAAACAGAUAAGACGAUCUAUCCGGAAUCUUUAAAUGUGAAGAUUUAGCACCUACUGAACAUAGAUAGCGCCUACAUCUGUAAGCUUCAAGAAAACAAAAUAGGUAUCCAAAUUAGACUGCAUGACAUUUUGAGCCAUAAUUAUGGAAAAAUCAAAAGUAUAUUGUUGAACAAAUGAUCCAAUUCCGAAUUUGCAAGGAAAGAGAUAAAUUCAAUGUUGCUCGAUGCACAUAAUGCAAUAACGGGUUCAGGAGCCAACCAUUCAAAAUUAACUACCCAAUAUGUCAAGAAUUGAGGAAAGGAUUAGAGGAUUCAGAGACAGGGGGGAGUGGGUCCUGGCUGCCCUUCCUCAC